CGUAUUAUGACCUGUUACCAAGGCAGCCAGGAAGAAGCUGGAAAAUCUGUGGAGGGAGCGGACCGAGCUGCUAUGGGCAUCCGAAAAGGCUGAUCACUUGUUUACAGCUUAGGCUGCCACCAUGGGCACCGCAUCCUCCUUGGUCAGCCCAGGAGAGGUAAUUGAGGAUGGAUAUGGAGGUGAAGGAGGGGAAGCCUGUGAGAUCCCAGUUGAGGUCAAGCCCAAAGCCCGACUUCUGCGCAGUUCCUUUCGCAGAGGACCUCGGGUGAUUGGGGCCAGUUUUAAAUCCACAGGUUCUGUGGAUCUAGAGUAUGCUGCUGAGUAUGAAAGACUCCGUAAAGAGUAUGAAAUAUUUCGCGUCAGUAAAAAUAACGAGAUCUCAUCCAUGCAAAAGAAGGAGUCUAAGCUGGACGAGGAGAACAAGAGGCUGAGGGCUGAGCUACAGGCUCUCCAGAAGACCUACCAGAAGAUCCUUAGAGAAAAAGAGAGUGCUCUCGAGGCAAAGUAUCAAGCUAUGGAGAGGGCUGCCACCUUUGAACAUGACAGGGACAAAGUGAAACGACAGUUUAAGAUUUUCCGGGAGACAAAAGAAAAGGAGAUUCAGGAUCUCCUGCGUGCCAAGAGGGACUUGGAGGCCAAACUGCAACAGUUGCAAGCUCAGGGCAUUCAGGUCUAUGACCUAAAUGAUUCAGACUCAGAUGACAACCAAACCACGGUUACUGCUGCAGGGACACAGUGUGAGUACUGGUCUGGUGGUGUGCUGGGAAGUGAGCCCUCUAUGGGUAGCAUGAUGCAGUUGCAACAGACAUUCAGGGGACCAGAGUUUGCCCACAGUUUGAUAGAUGUGGAGGGACCCUUUGCAAAUGUGAGCAGAGAUGAUUGGGAUGCUGCAGUGGCCAGUCUGCUUCAGGUCUCCCCUCAUGUACCCCAGGCCUUGUGGAGUAACACAGUGCGCUGCUUCCUGAUCUUUACCCAGGAGACCAAAGCAGAGCUUGAUGUCUUUAUAAAGAAACACUCUCCUUUGUUACGGAGAAUGUGUGAGGGUCUUGGCCAUUUCUACCUGAAUGUCUGCUUUCCAGAAGAGAAUGCUGCAUCUUAUGCUGUUGAGCGCAAGCAGGAGAUUGAAAGGAGCUCUGUUUGUGUGCUUCUUGUCAAAACUACUGUCACCAGCUCUGUGGUGGAAGAUUGUGAGGAGGCUUUUGUGAAGAAUCCAGAUGGCCAUCCACUAGUGCUCUACCUCAGGACUGAAGAAGAUCACAAUUUGACUGGACCCACUAGGCAACUGCUAGAAAGGGUCAAUGCUGCAGACAAGGCUGCUAAAAUCAAGGUGGUGGAUCAUAGUGGUUCUGCAGAGGAGGGGGCUGAACUGAUUUAUUCUCAACUUGAGAAAGUCAUCAAACAGGAGUUGCUGGCUAUUCAAGGAGAAGAUGUUGACUCUAAGGACUCUGGGAUAGAGGAGGGACACGAGGAAGACUCAGAUGUGCUGUGGGACCUGCAUGACGAGCAGGAACAGAUUGAGUCCUACCAGCAGGCCCGUAGCAGCACCACCUCCCAGUUAGGCUUCCAGAAGUAUAUAGAUCGUUUGAAUGACAUGAUAGCUGCUCCCCCUCCCACCCCUCCUCUGCUGGUGUCUGGUGGUCCAGGCUCAGGAAAGUCUCUCCUGCUCUCCAAAUGGAUCGAGCAGCUGCAGAAGCAGUCCCCCAACACCUUGUUCCUUUAUCAUUUUGUUGGUCGCCCACUUUCCACAAGCUCAGAGCCGGUUCUCAUUAUCAAACGCCUCACAGUCAAACUGCUGCAGCACUUCUGGUCUAUUUCUGGCUUGUCCAUGGAGCCCAGUAAGAUCUUAGAAGAGUUUCCUCGCUGGCUUGAAAGACUAUCAGCACGCCAUCAAGGAAACAUCAUCAUCAUCAUUGACUCCAUUGACCAAAUACAGCAAGCAGAAAGAAACAUGAAGUGGCUGAUUGACCCUCUGCCUGUCAAUGUCAGAGUGGUGGUGUCUGUCAAUGUAGAGACAUGUCCUCAAGCUUGGAGGUUAUGGCCCACACUCCAUUUAGACCCACUGAGUCCCAGAGAGGUCAGGAGCAUUGUAAAUGCAGAGUGCCAAAGCAUGAAUCUCAAACUUACCAAGGACCAGGAGAAGAAACUGGAAAGGCACUGUCGAUCUGCAACAACCUGCAAUGCAUUGUAUGUCACACUACUGGCAAGAAUGAUGAUCAGCAGUAUAGCAGGUUGGUCACUGGAGAAGUGCCUGGAGCAGUGUCUACAGUGCCAGGACACCAUGUCACUCUACCGUCUGGCACUGAAGAUGAUGUUGAACUCCUUUAACACAGACAGAGAGCAACACAUUAUGAGAGAGAUACUGUGUCUUGUAUGUGCCAGCCACAAUGGAGUUAGUGAAUCAGAGGUACUUGACCUUUUCCCGGAACUGGAGUUGCCUGUCCUGUCCUCUGUGCUUCACCAUCUGAACAGACUCUGCAUUGUAACCCUCCGUUGUGGGCUCAUCAGGUUUCAACACCUGCAGGCUUGGGAAGCUGUGAGGUUGGAGUUUCUGGGUGGAGGAAGUAGCUCGCCUUCUUACAGAGAGAAACUCAUACACUACUUUAGUCAGCAACUCAGCCAGGAUCGUGUUACGUGGCGUGUUGCAGAUGAACUGCCAUGGCUGCUCCAACAGCAGGAGGAUAGGACUAAACUACAGCUUAGCCUCCUGAACCUGUUUGUCUCACAAAACCUCUACAAGAGGGGUCAUUUUUCUGAGCUGCUGGCCUAUUGGCAAUAUGUGGGCAAAGACAAAAGCUCCAUGGCCACUGAGUACUUUGACUCCCUAAAACACUAUGAGAAGAGCUGUGAGAGCGACGACACCAUGACCAAGCUGGCAAACCUGUAUGAGACCUUGGGACGUUUCCUCAAAGAUCUGGGCCUCCCUAGUCAGGCUGUAGCACCUUUACAGAGGUCCCUUGAGAUUAGGGAGACAGCCUUGGACCCGGACCAUCCCAGCGUUGCUCGCUCUCUGCACCAGCUGGCCGGGGUUUAUGUUCAGUGGAAGAAGUAUGGUAACGCUGAGCAGCUGUACAAGCAGGCCCUGGAGAUAAGUGAGAACGCAUACGGAGCGGAGCAUGCAAGCGUAGCACGAGAGCUGGAGUCACUUGCCAUGCUCUAUCAGAAACAAAACAAAUAUGAACAAGCUGAAAAACUCAGGAAGAGGUCAGUGAAGAUCCGUCAGAAGACUGCUCGCCAGAAAGGUCAUAUGUAUGGCUUUACUUUGUUGAGGCGCAGAGCCCUACAGCUGGAAGAGCUGACCCUGGGAAAAGACUCUGCCGACUCUGCCAAGACACUUAACGAACUGGGUGUCCUGUACUACCUCCAAAACAACCUAGAUGCAGCCAAGAUGUUCUUGACCCGCUCUCUGGAGAUGCGUCAACGUGUCCUCGGUCCAGAUCACCCAGACUGUGCUCAGUCCCUCAACAACCUGGCUGCACUGCACACAGAGAGAAGGGAGUAUGAGACGUCUGAAGACAUGUAUGAGAGGGCGCUAGAUAUUCGCAAGAGGGCCUUGUCCCCAGACCACCCCUCACUGGCAUACACACUCAAACACCUGGCCAUGCUCUAUAAACGCAGAGGAAAGCUGGAAAAGGCUGUGCCACUGUAUGAGCUGUCUCUGGAAAUCAGGGAAAAAAGUUUUGGGCCCAAGCACCCUAGUGUGGCCACAGCACUGGUCAACCUGGCUGUGAUCUACUGCCAACUAAAGAAGCACAGUGAUGCCUUGCCUCUUUAUGAACGAGCGCUGAAAGUGUAUGAGGAUAGUUUGGGGCGCUCACACCCACGGGUCGGAGAGACUCUAAAAAACUUGGCUGUGCUAAGCUAUGAAGAGGGUGACUUCGAGAAGGCAGCAGAGCUUUACAAACGUGCAAUGGAGAUAAAGGAGGCAGAGCCAUCGUUGGUGUGUGGGAACGCCCCGUCCCGCCACUCCUCCAGUGGGGACACAUUCAGUUUGAGGGGACCUGCUCCCCUCCCACACGCUCCGCGGUGACUGUAUUCAGCCACUCAUUGCCAAAGAACCUCACAGGCUGUUGACAGCUCUAACUACCGUCAAAAAACAAAAACAUCAGAGCCCAUGGUUUAAUCAAAAUAGAAACCAUUCUGGUCAUCACACUGCAAUUAUUGUCUAGAUGGAGUUUUUAGGGUUUGUUCAAAUAG